GAGGCAGCAGUGGGGAAUAUUGGACAAUGGGCGCAAGCCUGAUCCAGCAAUGCCGCGUGUGUGAAGAAGGCUCUAGGGUUGUAAAGCACUUUCAGUAGGGAAGAAACGCAGGUCGCUAAUACCGAUCUGUAAUGACGUUACCUACAGAAGAAGCACCGGCUAACUCCGUGCCAGCAGCCGCGGUAAUACGGAGGGUGCAAGCGUUAAUCGGAAUUACUGGGCGUAAAGGGCGCGUAGGCGGUUCGGUUAGUCGGAUGUGAAAGCCCCGGGCUCAACCUGGGAAUUGCACUCGAUACUGCCGAGCUAGAGUGUGGUAGAGGGAAGCGGAAUUCCGGGUGUAGCGGUGAAAUGCGUAGAUAUCCGGAGGAACAUCAGUGGCGAAGGCGGCUUCCUGGACCAACACUGACGCUGAGGCGCGAAAGCGUGGGGAGCAAACAGGACUAGAUACCCUGGUAGUCCACGCCCUAAACGAUGAGAACUAGCCGUUGGGGGUAUUUGAAACCUUUAGUGGCGCAGCUAACGCGAUAAGUUCUCCGCCUGGGGAGUACGACCGCAAGGUUAAAACUCAAAGGAAUUG
rnacentral:rRNA from 1 species